UGGAGGAAAUUCAAAUCCUCCGGGUAAAUGUACAUAAAAAAAUUUACACAUUUUUAGCAUGACUAGUAGUAAGAGAAGGUGACAAAGUUACCUACGCCAUUACAAAUGAUAAUUCCAAUAUUUUAUCGUGUGUAGCUGUUCACGAUGAUCAGCACUAGCAAAUUAUGCACGUUUGAAUUUUCUCGAAUAAAUUUAAAUGAUGCAGGAAAGUGGACUAUUUAUACAAGUUCUAUGCUAGGUAGUGACACUAGUCAAUCUUCAUAUAUAAUUGAAAUAUAUGUCCACAUGAAAACCAUUUUGUUACCAUAAAGUUGGUUCUUAUUAGAACUCAGGAACUAUGUAACAGUUUUCCCUCAACUAUAAUAUUGGGCUGGUAGUUAAUUUUAUUACUUUAUUUCUUAUGAUUGAAAAAUUCAUCAUAAAUCUUAAAUAAAUUUAUUCAUAGCGUGAAGAUAAUUAUGAUUUAUUAAAUCUCAACCAAAAUAAUCUAGGAAUAGAACGUUAUGGAACAUGUGGUGUACGAAUACAUGUUGAUGAAUCGAAGUAUGGAACUUGGCAACUUCUACAAACGAUGAACAAUAUAAAAUAAUACAACUGGAAUUUAAAAUAUGAAGACCGUAUAGAGAUAAUUAUCACGUUAAUACAACGCUUGUCUGGCAUCAUGGUCUUUCAGCAAAAAUUGGAUUACCUGAAUAUCUGGAAUAUACAUAUUGUAAAAUAACACAGCCCGAUGGACGAUAUACUAUUUUCGGGUAUAAUAAUUGUACGAAAAAAAUAGAUGCAGUGAACUACAUAUACGAAGGAAUAUGGAAAAUCCAAUACUACGUUCCAGAACUUCUUGAUAUCAUUACAAUAUAUUUUAAUGUAAAAGUUAUUUCAAAAUUAUAGAACCUUUCUAUCAUACAUUGACACCAACACAAUUAGCAUGACAGAGGCAUAUAUACCAAAUCAUUUUUACGUGAAAUGAGGUGACAGCUUACAGAUAGAGUGUCCUAGAUACGCAUCUUUAAAUUAUUGUUGGCUUUAUAGUCCUAAUGGUACAAUAUAUGCAAGUUCGUAUUAUAUAAGCUCCGAAAAAGCUUUAAUGUAUAAAGGUAGAAAUUUAGCUGCUGGUAUUUGUGGUACCACGAUUAAAAAUGCUGACUAUAAACAUUUGGGUAAUUGAAGCUGUUUAUUAAAUACUAUUGGAGGUGAUGAAAUAAAAGUAUCUAAUGCCAUUGUAGUAUCAGUUACAGAUUCAUAUUAUAUGCAAACCAAAGUGUAAUUAAGAUGAAUAAGAAUGAAAAAACAACUCUUACUUUGAGAAUAUUACCUGGAAAAUAUGUAACCAUUAACUAUUGUCGGUGGCAUUAUCCUAAUGGAGCCGAAAUUCAAAGAGACAAUUCAAGCCAAUAUUCUAUGUCACAUAAUCGAAAAUCGUGCUCGUUGACAAUGAAUGAAUACAAGCCUGAAAAUAUCGGGAAAUGGACUUGCUAUGCUGGGUUAUUUAAUGAUUCAGAGGAUAUAUUUAGGAAAGAAAUAUCUGUGACAGUAACUGUGAUUGAAAAUGAAAAUAAUUUUUAAUAAAUUAAUGCUGUCAAAA
rnacentral:lncRNA from 1 species